ensembl:snoRNA
CCUGACCCUAAGCCCCUGCAGGCGUGGCUGCAGUGCCACAUGUUUGCCACUAGGGGGCAGAGAAGAGAACAUCUAUGUCUAUGCUCAGUGUUCUGACCUAUGAACAUUUCCUGACAUUUCCUGGAAAAGG